rnacentral:lncRNA from 1 species
CUAUAUUCCUAAAAGCGUCGGCGAGUUAGCCACUUGGCUUUGAUGCGUUGGAGUUUGACUUGCCCACGCUGUACUUUUAUCUGUUAAACAUAGCACAAGUUACUAUAAUGAAAUUGAUGUGUUGGUGAUGCAUAUUAAGUAUAUGCAUUGUCCCGAGAAAAAGAAAACAAGUAAAAUCAGAAUAACAUUAACAAAUCCCUGCAUUGUAAGCUACUUUCGGGCAUAAAUAAUAAUAAAAAAAUAAGUGAAAUCAGAAUAAUAUUAACAAAUCCCUGCGUAAUAAACUAAUUUCAUGCAUAAAUAAUAAAAAAAAUUAAUGUCACGUCUCCUAUGUUGCAAUGAAUUUUUUAUAUUAUUUUUUUAAUCAUAGUGUCUAAACAAUUUUGAUUAAAAUUAAAGAAACGUAAAAAAUAUUAUUUGUAAUUUAUAAAUUUAUAUUAUAAAUAUUAUGUUCAAAUAAAUAGUAUAGUUAAAGAAGUCAUGUAAUUAUGUAGUUCAACAAAAAUUUUAAUAUAAAUAGUACUGUUUUUAAUAAAUAAAUAAAUAAAAGUUUUUUUCAAAAGAAAUUUAAUUUUUUAAUAAUUUGAUAUCUAAGUUUGCCUUUGUAAGAUAGAUUGUUAUACAUAUUCAAUCUUUCAUAUUUGUUAAAAUGUAAUACAAAGAAGAAAAAAAUGUAUUAAUAAGAUUAGAUUGCAUUUAAAAAGAUUUGCUAUAAUUUUUUGUUUGUAGAAUUUGUGUUAAAAAAUAAUAUGUGCAUUAUAUUAUAUUUCAUUCCAAGCUAGUCAGAUCGUGAAUUCUUUUCGUGCUCUAUUUGUAAUAAAAAAAAAUUAAUGCAAUGAUCAUGUGUAUUUAUAUUAUUUAAUAAAUAUAUUAAACUUAAAUUAUAUUAAAUAUUUAAUACAUUCAUUCACAAUUAAUUUAAUUCAUAAAUAUCAUAAAUGAUUAAAUGAUUAAAUUCAAAAAUAAUUAAAUUCAAUCAAUUUGAAUUUAAUUCAUAAUUAAUAAUAACUUGUAAAUAUAAAUUUAGAUUCAAAAUUUAAAUGGAACGAAUAAUAUAAUUUAUUUAUAAUUAAUUGAGUUUAUGAAUAUCAUAAAUUCAUGAAUUCUUAAAUUCAUAAAUAAUCAAAAUAUAUUUAUUUAUAAUUAAUUAAAUUCAUUGGUAUUAUAAUUUCAUGAAUGACUAAGUUAAUGAAUAUUCAAAUAUAAUAAACUCAAAUUUUAAAUAAUACGAUAUAGGAAAUAUAUGUAUUCACAAUUAAUUAAAUUUAUAAAUACUAUAAAUCCAUAAAUAUUUAAUGAAACUUAUACAAGAAAUGACUCAUGCUUACAUAAUAGUCUAAGUGACACAAUAUUAAAAAUAUGGGAGAGAUAGCCAACAAGAUUACAAAGCAAAAACACUAUAAAAAAAAACUCAGUUAUGUCAAAUGUCACAAUUAAUGAACAAAACAGAGUAGCAAAAAGCUAUCCGAAACCCCCAAAAAAACCUGUUGGACAAGCUGUCAAAACAUUGAAGCAAAUGUUGUGCCUUGUCACCUGUGUUGAUGCUUGAUAUCAGGCAUCAGCAAACAUUGUCUAGCCGUACCGGAAUGGCUGUAUCAGGCGGCAAUUAGUAUUAGUAUUAGGCAAGGUAUACAUCAGAAUACUAGUGUACGGCCGGGCUCUUGUGGCAGGUGUUCAUUUGUAUGAACAAACUGAAGUAUUCUUCGCAUCGACUUUGACUUCAAGGAUGCAAGUGCAAUCAAUCCAAAGUGAUAAGAGGCAAUGAUAGCAGCCCUCGAAAUUCUAGGCAAAUCCUUUUGUUCCAAACAGGUAUGUCAUAUAUCAGAAUCCCCAAUCAAAUGAAUCCUGUGGUAAUUAAGGCAUAAACAUAAGCUAUCCAAGGGCGCUUGC